rnacentral:rRNA from 1 species
AUACGGAGGGUGCAAGCGUUAUCCGGAAUCACUGGGUUUAAAGGGUGCGUAGGCGGCUCAAUCAGUCAGGGGUGAAGUCUUGCAGCUUAACUGUAAAAUUGCCUUUGAUACUGUUGAGCUUGAAUUAGGUUGAGGUUGGCGGAAUGUGACAUGUAGCGGUGAAAUGCAUAGAUAUGUCAUAGAACACCAAUUGCGAAGGCAGCUGGCUAGACCUUAAUUGACGCUGAGGCACGAAAGCGUGGGGAGCGAACAGGAUUAGAUACCCUAGUAGUCC